AAAAACACUGGGUUCAAUGCACACAAAAAUGUACAAAAAUGCAUUUUUGUACAUUUUUGUGUGCAUUGAACCCAGUGUUUUU